CGGUUAAGUUAGAAAGGGCGCACGGUGGAUGCCUUGGCACUAGGAGCCGAUGAAGGACGGACGAACACCGAUAUGCUUCGGGGAGCUGUAAGCAAGCUUUGAUCCGGAGAUUUCCGAAUGGGGAAACCCACCACUCGUAAUGGAGUGGUAUCCAUAUCUGAAUACAUAGGAUAUGAGAAGGCAGACCCGGGGAACUGAAACAUCUAAGUACCCGGAGGAAGAGAAAGCAAAUGCGAUUCCCUGAGUAGCGGCGAGCGAAACGGGACCAGCCCAAACCAAGAGGCUUGCCUCUUGGGGUUGUAGGACACUCUGUACGGAGUUACAAAGGAACGAGGUAGAUGAAGAGGUCUGGAAAGGCCCGCCAUAGGAGGUAACAGCCCUGUAGUCAAAACUUCGUUCUCUCCUGAGUGGAUCCUGAGUACGGCGGAACACGUGAAAUUCCGUCGGAAUCCGGGAGGACCAUCUCCCAAGGCUAAAUACUCCCUAGUGACCGAUAGUGAACCAGUACCGUGAGGGAAAGGUGAAAAGCACCCCGGAAGGGAGUGAAAGAGAUCCUGAAACCGUGUGCCUACAAGUAGUCAGAGCCCGUUAACGGGUGAUGGCGUGCCUUUUGUAGAAUGAACCGGCGAGUUACGAUCCCGUGCAAGGUUAAGCAGAAGAUGCGGAGCCGCAGCGAAAGCGAGUCUGAAUAGGGCGAAUUGAGUGCGUGGUCGUAGACCCGAAACCAGGUGAUCUACCCAUGUCCAGGGUGAAGUUCAGGUAACACUGAAUGGAGGCCCGAACCCACGCACGUUGAAAAGUGCGGGGAUGAGGUGUGGGUAGGGGUGAAAUGCCAAUCGAACCUGGAGAUAGCUGGUUCUCUCCGAAAUAGCUUUAGGGCUAGCCUCAAGGUAAGAGUCUCGGAGGUAGAGCACUGAUUGGACUAGGGGCCCCUACCGGGUUACCGAAUUCAGUCAAACUCCGAAUGCCGAUGACUUAUCCUUGGGAGUCAGACUGCGAGUGAUAAGAUCCGUAGUCGAAAGGAAACAGCCCAGACCGCCAGCUAAGGUCCCAAAGUAUACGUUAAGUGGAAAAGGAUGUGGAGUUGCUUAGACAACCAGGAUGUUGGCUUAGAAGCAGCCACCAUUUAAAGAGUGCGUAAUAGCUCACUGGUCGAGUGACUCUGCGCCGAAAAUGUACCGGGGCUAAACGUAUCACCGAAGCUGCGGACUGUUCUUCGAACAGUGGUAGGAGAGCGUUCUAAGGGCUGUGAAGCAAGACCGGAAGGACUUGUGGAGCGCUUAGAAGUGAGAAUGCCGGUAUGAGUAGCGAAAGAGGGGUGAGAAUCCCCUCCACCGAAUGCCUAAGGUUUCCUGAGGAAGGCUCGUCCGCUCAGGGUUAGUCGGGACCUAAGCCGAGGCCGAAAGGCGUAGGCGAUGGAUAACAGGUUGAUAUUCCUGUACCACCUCCUCACCAUUUGAGCAAUGGGGGGACGCAGGAGGAUAGGGUAAGCGCGGUAUUGGAUAUCCGCGUCCAAGCAGUUAGGCUGGGAAAUAGGCAAAUCCGUUUCCCGUGAAGGCUGAGCUGUGAUGGCGAGCGAAUUAUAGUAGCGAAGUUCCUGAUUCCACACUGCCAAGAAAAGCCUCUAGCGAGGUGAGAGGUGCCCGUACCGCAAACCGACACAGGUAGGCGAGGAGAGAAUCCUAAGGUGAUCGAGAGAACUCUCGUUAAGGAACUCGGCAAAAUGACCCCGUAACUUCGGGAGAAGGGGUGCUCUGUUAGGGUGCAAGCCCGAGAGAGCCGCAGUGAAUAGGCCCAGGCGACUGUUUAGCAAAAACACAGGUCUCUGCGAAGCCGUAAGGCGAAGUAUAGGGGCUGACGCCUGCCCGGUGCUGGAAGGUUAAGAGGAGCGCUUAGCGUAAGCGAAGGUGCGAAUUGAAGCCCCAGUAAACGGCGGCCGUAACUAUAACGGUCCUAAGGUAGCGAAAUUCCUUGUCGGGUAAGUUCCGACCCGCACGAAAGGCGCAACGAUCUGGGCACUGUCUCAACGAGAGACUCGGUGAAAUUAUAGUACCUGUGAAGAUGCAGGUUACCCGCGACAGGACGGAAAGACCCCGUGGAGCUUUACUGCAGCCUGAUAUUGAAUGUUGGUACAGCUUGUACAGGAUAGGUAGGAGCCUUGGAAACCGGAGCGCCAGCUUCGGUGGAGGCAUCGGUGGGAUACUACCCUGGCUGUAUUGACCUUCUAACCCGCCGCCCUUAUCGGGCGGGGAGACAGUGUCAGGUGGGCAGUUUGACUGGGGCGGUCGCCUCCUAAAAGGUAACGGAGGCGCCCAAAGGUUCCCUCAGAAUGGUUGGAAAUCAUUCGCAGAGUGUAAAGGCACAAGGGAGCUUGACUGCGAGACCUACAAGUCGAGCAGGGACGAAAGUCGGGCUUAGUGAUCCGGUGGUUCCGCAUGGAAGGGCCAUCGCUCAACGGAUAAAAGCUACCCCGGGGAUAACAGGCUUAUCUCCCCCAAGAGUCCACAUCGACGGGGAGGUUUGGCACCUCGAUGUCGGCUCAUCGCAUCCUGGGGCUGUAGUCGGUCCCAAGGGUUGGGCUGUUCGCCCAUUAAAGCGGUACGCGAGCUGGGUUCAGAACGUCGUGAGACAGUUCGGUCCCUAUCCGUCGCGGGCGCAGGAAAUUUGAGAGGAGCUGUCCUUAGUACGAGAGGACCGGGAUGGACGCACCGCUGGUGUACCAGUUGUUCUGCCAAGGGCAUCGCUGGGUAGCUAUGUGCGGACGGGAUAAGUGCUGAAAGCAUCUAAGCAUGAAGCCCCCCUCAAGAUGAGAUUUCCCAUUCCGCAAGGAAGUAAGAUCCCUGAAAGAUGAUCAGGUUGAUAGGUCUGAGGUGGAAGUGUGGCGACACAUGGAGCUGACAGAUACUAAUCGAUCGAGGACUUAACCAAUUU
rnacentral:rRNA from 1 species